rnacentral:rRNA from 1 species
AUGCGUGUUGAAAAUCACCCUUAUGAAGUCAUCGUUGUCGGAGUGGCCCCGCCGUCCGCAGCUCCGACUUCUCUACCAAAGCCAAAAAUCAGCAUAGGUGCGCCCAUUGGCUCAUCAGACAGUCGACAUGAGGACAAACUGGGACUCGGCUCUGCUCGCCACCAUACUGAUCUGGAGGGCUCGUUGGAAGUUGUGAAAAUCUAUGAAGGGGCAUCGAGAAUAAACCAUCUUUUCUUCGUGGACGAUUCGCUCAUUGUGAUGAAGGCAAAUGGUUGGAAGGAGAAACUCUUGUCGAAGGCAGAUCCAUGGAUACCAAGAGGAGGUACAGGGAGGCUGGCUUUCAGUCGAGGUCAAGUGAUCUUGGAUAAAGUGGCAGAGCUCAUUAAUCCUACCACUGAGAAGUGGGACGGGGAGCUAGUUAACGAUUUGUUCUGUCCGAAAGAUGCAAAGGAGAUCCUUGCUAUAACUCUUAGAAGCGGGAUGGAAGAUCAUGUAGCGUGGCAUUUCAAUGGCAAAGGUGUUUUUCAAGUAAAGUCUACAUACAGAUUAGGAGUUAUCCAAAGAGAUGUGAGGCUUCAGGCAGAUGCGAGCUCAUCAGGAGAAACGAGUGUGGGAAGAUCACAAUGGACGAAGCUCUGA